AGAUGAGGAUGAUGAUUUGAACUUGUUUCCCUAUUGGUCUGAUCCCCGAUAUGAUGGCGAUUGGUGAAACUAUGUAUUAGCUCUAUCAAACAGUCC